rnacentral:rRNA from 1 species
UACGGAGGGAGCAAGCGUUGUUCGGAUUUACUGGGCGUAAAGGGCGCGUAGGCGGUCAGCCCAGGUCAGUUGGAAAAUCUCCGGGCUUAACCCGGAAAGGGCAACUGAUACUGUGCGACUAGAGUGCGGAAGGGGCAACUGGAAUUCUCGGUGUAGCGGUGAAAUGCGAAGAUAUCGAGAGGAACACCUGCGGCGAAGGCGGGUUGCUGGGCCGACACUGACGCUGAUGCGCGAAAGCCAGGGGAGCGAACGGG